UUAGAUAUAGAUAAGUUCUCAAUUAGAUAUCGUUUGUAUGUGGUAUAAUUGACAGAAGCUGCACGAUUCGGAUGACCAAUGUCACUUUGACGUUAGAAUAUCUUUGAAAGAUCUUAGUCAGUGUUGCCAGAUGGGUUUUGCGUUCCGUUACGUGCACCUCUUAAAAAUAGUACGCAAAUUCAAGUUGAGUACGCAGUAUAAAAUUUACGGUGCGUUCCUAAAUAAUAUUAAUCGGAAAACCACCGAAUUUUAUCGCUACUAUAAAAAUGUUGAAAAUAGAACUUCACAUAUUUCGAUAAAAUAUUUCUUGUUUAAGGAGACUCAAUUCAAUGCAAAUUUGCCAACGGUGGCGUUUCGAAAUGUAAUACCGUCGCGGCGUCUGUCAUACUUCGGUCUACUUAAACACGCUGCACGCUGCUGCGACGCGUCAGGGCCUACCGCGAACCACGUUCGACGUGUUGCCUCUCUGUCGCACUUAUAAAUUCGUACGUAAGUAUGACAGGGAGGCAACACGUCGAACGUGGUUCACGGUAGGCCCUCUGUUCUGUGAUUGUUAGGCAAACACAAACAUUUUUUUUUACAACGGACGCCCACGAGUAUUCCUCUGCGUUGAAGUCAUUGUUGAAGUUUGAAAACUCAUAAAGUUUUGUUUUGUGAGUGAAACCGUGAAUAAUACUAAAUAAAAAUGUGUGACAGUGAUCACAGUGAUGAAAAUAUGUUGCCCACUACUCCUCAGGAAAUAUUAAAGCCUUUUCCGUUUAUGUUGUUCCGUUGUUUGCUAUUUUGACAACUUGAAAAGUUUUAUCGGCAGUUUGCGUGUUAUUACUGUGAAGUGUUUGGCCAAACCGCCGCUACCACUUUUGAAAGGAUGCCACCCAAAAAUCCAAAAAUUCGCUCGAACGCAGCACAAAUUAGAUUGCUCGUUGAAUACAUGUCACAGCACACCCGGUUCGCCAACCGGGAAUUUGACGGGCCUCUAAGGACCCCAGAGGUACGAGGCGCAAUGGGAGGCCCUUGCACAGGCCUUAAGGGAGCACGGGCCCAAUAAGUCAGUGCAGGCAUGGAAAGUGGUGGGCACCUGCUCCCCGCUGGCGACACCCUUGCAGAAGCUAGCAUUUUCAGAUAUAUUUACUUUUUAAGUUUUUGGUUUGGUUUAACCGGAAUUAUUUUUACCCGACUAUGAGAAUGGGAAGGGUUAUGAUUUUAGCAGUCUACGUAUGGAUGCCGUAUAUAUGCCGGUAUGUUUUUGUUGUGUAUAAAUUACUAAUCAAUUUUGGUGAAUGAGGUGUUUAUAGGUUCAUUUUUAUGGGGUGACAUAGACUACAUAAUAAUAUUUAACUGACUUUGGACAAGGAAGAGGUGCUAUAGUUAAGAAAAAAAUCAUAGUCGGGUAAAAGUUUUUACAAUCUUUUGCUUGUUUUCAUUCUUAUAACAAAUAUUUUAAACUUGCAUGUGCUCAUUGCCUCAGAUUGACGACUACGUUGAGUUUUCGGGUGCUGGGAACAGUGUGGCUGGCAGCACGUUUUCUGCCACUGCUGAAAAUCUCGUUGUUGUUCCAACAACCGCCACCGUUACUGCGGCCUUGCUCAGCGAACAACCCCACUUCUCCACCUCUCAUUUGUCCUCGUCUCCCUCUCCUUCUGCCAGCCCUAUACGCUCCACGCAUUCAGUACUGCCCACAAGUCCUGGACUACCCGAACGUCCCUCUCUUGCCGCCCUUUCCGCCCGCUAUGCCCGUCCCGCCCUUCUCGCUAGUUCCGCAAUAACCGCCCAACCCGCACGUCUUCUCCUGCCUGCACGUCAAGUACACAGCUCUGUGUACGUGGAUCCGCGCCCUGCACGCGUAUCCACGUACACAGAGCUGUGUACUUGCCCCGCAACCGCACGACGGAACCGGCACCUUCGACAGCACAAUUUAAUCAUCUGCAGCAUGAGCAUGAUAAUAUUUUAAGAGUAAUUAAUUAAUUUAUGAACUAAUAAUUCUGUUUUAAGAUCAGGUUGAGUACGAGAAACAUUGUUUAUUUAACUUGGGACAAGAAAAACAGUAACUUGGCAGUAAGAAUGCAUACAUAAAGCCUGUAAGCUCCAUACUUGACGUACCAUUCCCUACAAGUGUUUCUCUUGCCUCCAUAUUUCGCUUACCCCAUCUGACCUUAUUUGUAUUGAUAAAACAUACAAAUAAUAAAUAUAUAUAUACGCGAGCAAUCGCAAAAUCUACAUUUCGGGAUUUCUCGUAUCGUACAGUGCCGUUUAAAUAAAAUAACACCACCAACUACCCAUAAGAGGGUUAUUAUGAAACUUAUAAUUAACAUGCAUUUUAUUGAAAGGCUGGAAUUUUAUUUAUCUUGAAAUCUUGACCAUGGUCAUAUGUUUGACUGGACGGUACACGGCAAUGUUAUUAUUACUAAUAUAUUUCAUAACACUAGACUUAUUCAAUCCUAAGUAACCUAUUAGCUUCUCAUUCGUGUGCGGUAUAUAUCAGCGUUUGGUAGUAUCAUAAUAGUCAAAUCUGGUGUUGGUUGUUGUUAAUAGUUAAAUGUUCAUAAAAUUUGACAACUUAUUAUAGUUAUAUUUUGUGUGAGUCAGUUAUCAUAACAGAAAUAAGAUAUAAAGCUGUUAAUACCGUAAAUUGUGUAUGGAUAUGUUUGACUCAAAUUCUGUAUUCCCACAAUAAGUAGGUAUACGGGGAGCCCGUAAGAAAUCAGUGGUAUAUGAAGGCUUUCUUGUGCAACUUUAGUAUGAGCUGGAACAAGUAAAUGUAGUUAUGUAGAACAGAUAAUCUCCAUUGUGGUAGAUGGCGCUAUUUAUUAUGUGCUCUGUGAUACCACUUAGUUUAAACUUGCUAUAACAUAUUUUAUGUUGACAGGAUAUCCUGAACGAACUGAAAAUUUUUAAUGAGGCGCAGAAACAAAAAUGGAGUGUUUUGAAGGAGGGGCACGACUUGUUGGCGAAUCGGUUCAUCCUCUGACCUUUCCAAGGAGCAAGAUCUUAUUUUCGUGUAUGAGAGCCUUUGGAAUACAAUAUUAUUAACGCCCGAAUGAGUGCUACCGCGUUUAAUUUCGCCACUAGGGGUGCUAGUGUAGACGGAGGUCAUUCGAAAUGUCAAAUGCAUAGCUUUUUUAUCGUGAAUUUCUACUCCUCAUUCAUAAUUGUGAUAAAUCUUAUUUCAUCUUUGAUUAGUUAGUCACCAAACAAAAGUAACUCAAAUAGCCGGGUCCACACAGAGCGAGCAUACGCGCCAGGCAACUUCCUCACGCACAAAACGGCCAGUGUAGACGUGCCUCGGACGAGGCGGAGCGCGCGUUUUCCUCGCCCUAGUGCGCCGCCUCGGCCGAGGCACGUCUACACUGGCUGGGAUUACCAUCGAAUCGUCUAAUGUCGGUUUUGUUCCUUUGGGUUUGUUGUACCUAGUGACAUGUUUUUUAAACGAUUGCAACGCCAUCUGCGAGUUGCUCGAGAGACUCAACUUACACACAUAUAUGGAUGUGGCUUCAAAAGUAAUCACCGUUAAUAUCUCGUACCUUGAAUAAAGGACCCACUUCUUAAUUAUUAUUAUAAAUUAUAUUUUGGUAUUGUUCCAGUAUUAACACAUUGGAGGACACCGAGAUUAUUGAGAACUUGGAAGACACAGUUAUAAUGGAAGAGGAAGACGUCUGAGCUAAGCGCUGUCCUCGCACCCUCCGUCUAGUUUACGUUUGCGGCCAUAUCAAAAAUACACACCGUAUGUUUAUUAGGGUUCCGUACCAAAAAGGUACAAAAGGAACCCUUAUGGUGCUAUUGCUAAAUAUCUCGAGAAGUACUUAAGCUAUCGAUGUGAAAUUUGGAAUAGUAAUGAAUAACGCUGACCCAAACAUAUUGGAUGUGUAUUUAUUUUAUUUUAUUUGUAAGUAUUAAUAAUGGAAAAUUCCCAAUAUGAAGAGGGGGUAAAAUUGCAAAGUCUAGUUAAAUAGGUCAAGUGGGGUAUCAUUUGAAAGAGCUCAAAUUGAAAAUUACAAAACAAUUUUUUAUUUUCAUUGUGAAAAAAAAAUUUACGUAUGAAGGAAAAUGUGAAAAUAAUACCAUCCCCCCCCCCUCUCUCAUCUCCGAAGUUUAAGAAUAAAAAUUGUUUUUUUUUUACAUUGGUCAAGUCUUUCAUGAGAAAAUUUGAAGUUUGUACGGAACCCUCGGUGUGCGAGGUAAACGAACUCGCACUUGACCGGUUAUUCUUAUUGCCCAUAAGGCCCGUCCUUAGAUAUAUGUCAAUGAUUACGGUGAUCUCGAAAAUGGCUCAAAUGAUUUCAAUUAAAUUUGCUAUAUGGGGGUUUUCGGGGCGUUUUUGAGUUUUUACCUAUUUGUUUUCCGAGCAAAAGGAAUUAAAGUUUACUGAUUUUGAAAA